GGUCUCCGUUGGUGAACCAGCGGAGGGAUCAUUACCGAGUUUACAACUCCCAAACCCCUGUGAACAUACCACUUGUUGCCUCGGCGGAUCAGCCCGCUCCCGGUAAAACGGGACGGCCCGCCAGAGGACCCCUAAAACUCUGUUUCUAUAUGUAACUUCUGAGUAAAACCAUAAAUAAAUCAAAACUUUCAACAACGGAUCUCUUGGUUCUGGCAUCGAUGAAGAACGCAGCAAAAUGCGAUAAGUAAUGUGAAUUGCAGAAUUCAGUGAAUCAUCGAAUCUUUGAACGCACAUUGCGCCCGCCAGUAUUCUGGCGGGCAUGCCUGUUCGAGCGUCAUUUCAACCCUCAAGCACAGCUUGGUGUUGGGACUCGCGUUAAUUCGCGUUCCUCAAAUUGAUUGGCGGUCACGUCGAGCUUCCAUAGCGUAGUAGUAAAACCCUCGUUACUGGUAAUCGUCGCGGCCACGCCGUUAAACCCCAACUUNUGAACGUUGACCUCGGAUCAGGUAGGAAUACCCGCUGAACUUAAGCAUAUCA
rnacentral:rRNA from 1 species